GCGGGGUGGGCGGGCGGGAGCGCGGCGCAGGCGCAGGCGCAGUCGAGGGGCCUGGCCGGCUCCCCCCCAACCCCGGAGUCCCGGGGCUCUGCUCUCCGCCGGGCUCCUGCUGCCGUCGCCGUCCGUCGCCUCUUCCUCCGUCUCCGUCCUGCUGCCUCGCAGGCCUGCUUUCCUCUUGCUCCUCCGGGGAUCUUGGCCUUGCUCCUCUUCUCUCCGGAGCGGGCAGUGACACCCCGACGCCUACCUCCCGCGUGUGUUUUGAGUGUUCUUUCUACCUCAUAAAACUGUGGCAUCCAAGAGCUGGAAGGAGUCUCAAGAAGUCAUUGCCCAUUGGACACGGGACCAGAUAUUGA
rnacentral:lncRNA from 1 species